GGACUUCAGCAUAUGGAUUUUGGGGGAAAACAAUUCAAUCCAUAACUGAUUCAGUCCGUAGCUGGUUGAGAACCAUUGAACCAGAUCAAUUACCUCCUGUAGGGUGAUGGACACCACACUUUAAACAUUCUAACUCCCCAGUGUCCAGCCUGGUGGCGUUGGGGCCAGAGCCAUGUGGUGAACGCACGCUGGUGGAGGAGAUUACUGAGAGCCUGCUGAAGGAUGGGCAAGUCCACUCCAAAUUCCAGAUCGGUGCAGUUUCAGUCUCUUCCUCCAUAACUCCAAUGGUGUUGCGUAUUCCCUUUUUGUCCAGCGGCCAGGCUGGGUGAGGGACAGCAGCAGAAGGAAACGAGAAGCCGAAGCAGUCCACACCUUGGAGAAUCACCUCUGUCUUGGAUGCUGAUGCAAACAGCUGCAUUCAAGGUUUGCAUAUGCUUAGCUGCAUGGGCGGGUGACAUGCUAAUAGAACAGCCAUGGGGCUGCCAUUGGGCGCCCGUUCUAAUCUCUGGCAAGACUUUUAAGUGAGGCUGUGCUACUCUUCGAAUGAUGCUCUAUUAUCCUUGUAGAAACACCGUGCUAUACGGAAUAGUGAAUUAUGGGAAAGUUGCCUGUAUAUAGAAUGGUAAGCAUUCACUUAUGGAAUAUGUAUUGAGCAUAUAUUGUCUAUAUCUUUCUAUUAAAAGCGAACACAGAGCAGAUCUGUUAUAAAGUAAAACAUUUGUUUCCUGGACCAUCAUCUUCCUUACCAUCCUGAGUGGACUUAAAAUACAGUAGGUCAAACUCAAAGGCACUAAGAAUUCCAGUGGUUUCUUGGAGUUCCCGUAGAAAUACUGUGAUCGCUUUACACAUGAGUUCCACAGGAGACUCAAGAUAGUACACAGGAGGUUAAGGGCAUUCAUAGUGGUCAAGCCGAGUUACAUGAUGAGUCCUUAACUGUGACUCUAGGUGUUGAUCAUAGGGACAGUCACGGCCACACAUGCGCCACAGGGAGGCCAGCUUCCUUAGCUGUGUGCAGACAUGGGGCUUAACAAUUGGGGGCUCCCAGAACAGGAGGUCCCAGCUUCACCAGCACUUGGGUUUGUAAAUGGCCACGCUAAUUUUACUUUGUCUGUUGAGGAGCCUCUGGCAUGGUUGACAUGGAGCCAUCAGGAGAAACUUGGCACUUUCAGGAUAUGGGGGGUGUGGGAAGGAGAGACUCUGUGUGAUCAGGGACAGCUUAGAAGAGAUGACUUCAGGGAACCUGGCCUCAAAGAAGCUGUUUCUACGGUCCGUGUGUUUUCAUCAGGCCUUAGGUUCCUGCCUGAAACUCUAUUAGGUGGAUGGAGAUUCAUUUGGGUUAACAAAAUUUGUUCUUAAACCAAUGCACAUGCCUGCACAGGUGACUUCAGGAGACAGUUGAGGGCCCAGAUCCCUUCAUUUGAUAAAGGAGGCAAUGACCAGGGAGGCACAGUGCCCCGUCUGCUGUCAUCUAGCUCAGUGCGGUAGGGCCAGGCCGAUGGCAAGCCAUUGCCUUUGUUCCCUGUUGCUUUCUCCCUGGAAGGGUUCCCAGCCAGGGGACUUGACUCCUCACCUGCACUGAGCAGACAGGGCCCUGGGCUUGGGCACAGGGGGGCAGAGAUUAGUAUGGGCUGAGAAUGGAGGGGUGGGAUGGCCCAUCUGUCCCCAGCCCCUCAGGAUAGGGUGCUUUCUAGUGGGCUUUGGAGUCAGAGGUCAGGAUCUGGCACCCACAGAGAGAGGGGCACAGAGAUGGCGAGGGGAGAACACUGACUGAAGACAGAUGCCAGCCCUUCUGCAGUCCCCCGAUGCCCACUUUGUCUGGAGAGGAGGAGGGCACUCCCUCUCUUGCUCUCCUUCCUCCUGGAACUGGGCCCUGUUCUGAGACUGUUAUUAGUGUGGGAGACCAGCAGCUCCAGGGACCAAGUCAAAUUCUGUGGGCUAGCCUGGGAUCUACAGGACAGCUAACACAUUGCUUCUGAGGGACAAAUGCAUUUUGCACUGGAGUUGUUGAACUUCCUAGUAAUUUUUUGGACCACAGCUUGCAGGUAGGUUGUGGCCAGCGGGAGAAAAGGACAUCACCAUUUCCACAGAGGUGAUUGCCUAGUCAUAUCCACAGGGGAAUUAGCAUCUCUCUCAAUUGGCCUAUCCCACCCAAAGUGCUAGAAACAGGUCGUACUCAAAAGUAACUUAGUUAACUGUCAGGCUUUUAAAAAAAGGGGCUGCUGGUGUUUAGGAAGCUGAAGAAUAUCCUCCUUGACUGAGAUUUCACCU
rnacentral:lncRNA from 1 species